UUAAACACCAAUCCAGCUGUAUCAGCUAUCACUUGUCUAUUGAUAGGAAUUCGAGUUUGUUGUUCAAUCCAUAGCUGUAAUUCACCAAAGAUAUCUACCUUCCAUGGAAAUAUUUCUCUCAACAUGGGGAACACAACAACUUCAUCAGAAUCAGGACGUUUACCUCUUUUCCUUGGAUUCCAUUGCAAAACCACUCGAAACCAUUCAACCAUUUUAUUUAAAAUACUUCUGCAAUAUUAAAAAAUUAUAUAAUCAUUAAUUUUCAGUGCUUACUAAAUCAAAACAUACAAAAAAAAUAUUUAUUAUUUUUUUUUAAUUACUCUGAUAAAUCAUUAGGAUAAAUUAUAUUAUCGUAGAAUUUAAUUUUUUCUCCAAUUUCAAGAGCACAUAUCUGCUCAUAUGUUUUAUUUUGUCUCAUAUAAACUAUCCUGUAAAAUAUGUAUGAAUAUCUAUUAGUAAUUGUCUAUUGUCUAUUGAGUACAUUGAAAUAAUAACAGAAGGUAUAAUUAGUAUUACCACUUUGGUAAAUCUUGUAUAUGUGGUUGAAAAGGUUUGUGUCCACUUAUAACUUCAAAAAAUGUAAUACCUAAACUCCAAUAAUCAACCGAGCAAGUAUACUUUUGUUUCCAAAAAAGUUCUGGGGCAACAUAAUUGAAUGUUCCAACUAGAGAUGCUGUCAUUGUUGUGCUUCCAAGUUCUUUUGCAUAUCCAAGGUCUAUUAAUUUAUAAACAACCUAUGGUUUUACACAAAUUUCUUUAAUAAUUCAAAUAUUUGCACAAUUUAUCUAGUUUAAGUAUGACAUUAUUAUUUACCAUUCCAUUUUUUUCAUGUAGUACAAUAUUAUCAGGUUUUAGAUCUCUGUGAGUUAUAUUAUUAUAAUGUAAAUACAUAACAGCUGAGGAAAUAUCUUUCAUAACUGUUAAGGCGUCAUUUUGUAAUAAUCCACAACUAUUUUCUGGAUUACUCAAUACCUAUUUAAAACAUAUGCUCCUUAUCAAUUUAUAAGAUUUUUCUGAAUAAUGUAGUGUAUGAUUCGUAAAAUUUGAUGAUCAUUUUGAAAAGUAUUUUUAUAAUACUAUGUAUUAGAAAGAAUAAUUGUAAUUCUUUGAUAUAUAAGCAUAAAUGUAAUUAUAUCAAGACAAUACCUUUCGCAAAUCACCUUUAUUACAAAAUUCCAUACAUAGCACUGGUGAAUUUAAGACCAUUUCUGGAGGAACUUGCUCUGAUUUGACAAUAUUUGGAUGAUUGAAGUGUUUCAUAUUUUCAAUCUCUUGUUUCCAUCGCUCCAUCUGCCGAUCUGUUAUACUACCUUUUGGUAACAUGCAUUUCUUUAUGGCUACAAGUUAAAUGUGACAUGUGAAUAAUUCAUAACAAAUAAAACUUAUAUUUAAGACAUUUCACAAA